rnacentral:rRNA from 1 species
CCUACGGGAGGCAGCAGUGGGGAAUCUUGCGCAAUGGACGAAAGUCUGACGCAGCCACGCCGCGUGAGUGAAGAAGGCCUUCGGGUUGUAAAGCUCUGUCGUGUGGGACGAAAAGCAUUAGGGUUAAUAGCCCUAGUGCCUGACGGUACCAUGAAAGGAAGCACCGGCUAACUCCGUGCCAGCAGCCGCGGUAAUACGGAGGGUGCAAGCGUUGCUCGGAAUUAUUGGGCGUAAAGGGCAGGUAGGUGGUCCUAUUUGUCUGGGGUGAAAUCCCUGAGCUUAACUCAGGAAGUGCCUCAGAAACGGUAGGACUAGAGUCUUAGAGAGGUUCGUGGAAUUCCCGGUGUAGCGGUGAAAUGCGUAGAGAUCGGGAGGAACACCAGAGGCGAAGGCGGCGAACUGGAUAAGUACUGACACUCAACUGCGAAAGCGUGGGGAGCAAACAGGAUUAGAUACCCUGGUAGUCCACGCUGUAAACGAUGGGUACUAGGCUUUGUGGGAAUUGACCCCUGCGGNGCGGNGCGACGCGAGUACGUACCCGCCGCGGAGGUACGGUCGGCGAGAACGUAAACUAACUUAANAGUAGUUAGUUACGGCGNGAGACGNGCCGACGGACGACGACGAGGGAGGAGG